rnacentral:lncRNA from 1 species
CCCCAUACUCUCUUAAGAGAGUUACAAACGCCCAUGAGGUCUUUAUAUAGGUUUUACACUCUUGCAAACUCAUAAACCUAUAUCUAAUGGAUAGAAAUAACUUAAGAGGAAUGGAUGGUGAGGAUGAGUUGGUCUUGUUGUGAUCUGAGUGAUGUGUGCUGAUUGGAUGAGCUAAGCUGGCUCACUUUAAUUCAAACCAAGGCUGAGCUUUGAUUGGUUCUUCUUAGGCUCCUUUGUAUCUGUCCACAGAUCAGUCUAGGUGCAUGGUCGUGGCUGCCUUCCUCUUUACAGCAGCCAGCCUGUCCAUACCCCAAAGUAACCAAUCAGCUCCACACAGCAUCUUCUUGAUUCCCUUUGACUAGAUUCAAACCUUGGUGCCUUAUCCAUAUACUAUGCACACUCUUCACAUCCUGAAUAGUGACCCAAAUAGUGAAUAGUCAACCUGAAUAGUGACUAGUGAUUCACUAUUCACUUUUACACCAACUUGCCCAAACUUCUCCAAUCUUACUGUGGUAACUCUCCAAAGUUACUGUGGUAACUUUGGAGUUACUGUCUGACCCAAAUCUUCUCUAAAUGGUGUCUAAGUCCCUCCUGGACUUAACCCUAUCUUUGCACACUCAUCAGACCACUUCUGAAGCCUUAAGACUCUCCCAAAGCCUUAACAUACAAUCUCUGAAGAUCUUGCCAUGUCUUUGCACAAGCACCAACUCAACUCAUCACUUUUGCUUCUCCACUUCUUCUCUUCAAGUUAACACUCCCCCUCAAGCUUGACUCUAGCUGAUCCUAAGUCAAGCUUGGAACCUUGAAGAACUUCCUCAUUAAAAACCUCACCAAGGAAAACCCUUUGGGACAAAACCUUGAUGAGGGAAAAAGAGUAAAGUCUCCAAGGCCUAGGGAUUGGCCAGUGAGUCUUUGUGCCUUACCAACAAUGUAAGGGACACAAAGACUCUGGAUCAUGGCCUCUACAAUCAUCCCACGCCUUGUACUCUCCUUACUGCCUAAUCUUGGUCUCUCCCCCUUUCACCUAACCUCUUGUUAGGUUGAAGUGCUCGGACACACCAGAUCAGCCUCUUCUUGGAGAUACAACUUCUCUUACUGAGUCUUGGCUGCUUCUUCUUCUUAUAGAGUCGCCACCUUGUUGCUUGAGCUACAUGAGGAUGCUUCAGCCACUCUCCAAUCACCUCAACACUUGAAGCCGCCUUGGACAUUGCUUCUUCAUCCUUCAUCAUACUUCUCAACAGGUUGCUUCCUCUUCUAGAAUAACCACCAAGCUCUCUUGGAUCAUGUAAGCUUCAACACUCCCCCUCAAGCUUGAGACUCUCACAGGAACAAGCUUGAAUGGAUUGCUUCAUGAUCCUCACACACACACCAUUGCCGCUUCUCUUCUGAUCUUGCCAUCUUCAUGGAAUGCUUGUGGAAGCUUCAGCUAUCUCUCCAAUCACUUCACACUAGAAGCCGCCUUGAUAGAGUUGCCUUCAUCUUCUCACAGCCAAGAGUACUCUGUCUUAGUUUGAGUACUCUCUUGAAUAGACUCGCCACAGCCUAAGCCCGGAUGGCUCCUUCUUCAGAUGGUUGCAAUGGACUUCUUGGAUCGCUUGGAAGCUCACUAAACUCCCCUCCUCAAGCUUGGAUUGAGUAUAGGUCCAAGCUUGCAAGUGAGCUUCAGUGAGACUUCACACCAGUGGCGCAUCACCACUUCUUUCUCAACUCUCCAUUGCUCCACACAAUGGGCAAAGUCUUCCUCUUUCAACUCGGAUGGAUGGUGAACCAAGAACACCUCUUGUGAACCUGAAACAUCACUCAAACUCCAGCAAAGAUAAGACACAAGUGCAUUGGGUCAACCCUUGAUGCAUCAUCAAGUUUGAACACCAAUGUCUUUAAGCAAUGCAACAGAUUAAACUAGACAUUUUCAAGUUCUAAUCUUUGCAAGCAAACUCUCUAAGCACUAGCAUGAUCCUAACAGAUUCAAUACAAGCUACUUAGGCAAUUUUUAAAGCUUCUUUACUCAGCAUUUAGACAUGAAUCUAAUGCUUCAAUGUAAGACAGCCAUUUGACAGUAUGCACUAACCUUAAUCAGUUUUAAUUCAUGAAUGCAACAAUACAAUCCAUCACACAUUCAUUUAUAACUUAGGCUAAGCAUUACUAUCAUCACUUAUCAUCAGACAAUGCAUUACUUUCAAUCUGUUUUCAGUUCAUGAGCUUCAAACAAUAUCAUUUCACAUUUAGCAAACUCAUUACUUAACAGGAGCAAGCAUUUUACUCUUUAAACACUAAACAAGCCUUUAAAGCAUCCUGGGACAGAUUCAACUAAUUAUAUUUAGCAAUCACACAUUAUCCUCAGGUUUUUCAAUCAAUACACAUCACACUAACCAGGCAAUAACACAACACAAGCUCAUUAUCAAGAAGGUUUUAAGAAUCGCUUACACAAGGAACCAGGUUGGUUCCUUAAGCCUCCAAAGGCAAUCUGGCCAUGAUAUGGUUGGAUUCAAGAGUCUAGGUCGUCACCCAACUCCUUCUCCUUCAGUCCAUGGCCUCCUUCUUGUUUCUCACACCCAAAGACCCCUCCUUUCUUCAUACUUCAAACCGGCUUCUCUUAGCUUCAUCUUUCUUGUAUCCGGAUGUGAUAAGCUCUUGGACAAGGAGCUUUGGCAUGAGGUUCAUGACGCCUCUCCAUCCUCCUCUGCUUCCAAAGAGACACUCUCCAUCAGGUAAAGACAGGCACGGUUGAGAGAUAAGGAGAACACUCCAUGCUUCAAGCUUCUUUUUUCUUCAAGAACUGAACUCGGCUGGUAAUGUCUUCAAGGGUUUGGUUUGAGCUGAGAUGAGAGCUGUGGAUUUGCGGAAGCUCAGCUCAGGUUCUGAUGAACCUGGCUCUGAUACCAUAUGAGAUUUGAGAGCUCUGGCUGUGUAUGUGUAUGAGAAGCCAUUAGAGGCAAAGAAUAAGGUCUUGAACUAGUUGAAUAAGAGGUCUGAUGAAACUAGUAUGAACUUGAAUCAGAAACAAAGAGACUUAGAGAGAUUAAGAGAUUAGAGACUAAGAAAGGGGUAGAUUAAGGGAAUCUGAUCAAGAACACACUUUUAUAUUUAUGAAGGAGUUGGGGAAAAUCCCCAUACUCUCUUAAGAGAGUUACAAACGCCCAUGAGGUCUUUAUAUAGGUUUUACACUCUUGCAAACUCAUAAACCUAUAUCUAAUGGAUAGAAAUAACUUAAGAGGAAUGGAUGGUGAGGAUGAGUUGGUCUUGUUGUGAUCUGAGUGAUGUGUGCUGAUUGGAUGAGCUAAGCUGGCUCACUUUAAUUCAAACAAGGCUGUGCUUUGAUUGGUUCUUCUUAGGCUCCUUUGUAUCUGUCCAUAGAUCAGUCUAGGUGCAUGGUCGUGGCUGCCUUCCUCUUUACAGCAACAGCCAGCCUGUCCAUGCCCCAAAGUAACCAAUCAGCUCCACACAGCAUCUUCUUGAUUCCCUUUGACUAGAUUCAAACCUUGGUGCCUUAUCCAUAUACUAUGCACACUCUUCACAUCCUGAAUAGUGACCCAAAUAGUGAAUAGUCAACCUAAUAGUGACUAGUGAUUCACUAUUCACUUUUACACCAACUUGCCCAAACUUCUCCAAUCUUACUGUGGUAACUCUCCAAAGUUACUGUGGUAACUUUGGAGUUACUGUCUGACCCAAAUCUUCUCUAAAUGGUGUCUAAGUCCCUCCUGGACUUAACCCUAUCUUUGCACACUCAUCAGACCACUUCUGAAGCCUUAAGACUCUCCCAAAGCCUUAACAUACAACCUCUGAAGAUCUUGCCAUGUCUUUGCACAAGCACCAACUCAACUCAUCACUUUUGCUUCUCCACUUCUUCUCUUCAAGUUAACAC